rnacentral:rRNA from 1 species
AACCAGACUCCUACGGGAGGCAGCAGUGGGGAAUAUUGCACAAUGGGGGAAACCCUGAUGCAGCGACGCCGCGUGAGCGAGGAAGUAUUUCGGUAUGUAAAGCUCUGUCAGCAGGGAAGAAGAAUGACGGUACCUGAAGAAGAAGCACCGGCUAAAUACGUGCCAGCAGCCGCGGUAAUACGUAUGGUGCAAGCGUUAUCCGGAUUUACUGGGUGUAAAGGGGGCGCAGACGGCAAUGCAAGCCAGGAGUGAAAGCCCGGGGCCCAACCCCGGGACUGCUCUGGAAACUGCGUCGCUGGAGUACGGGAGGGGCAGGCGGAAUUCCUGGUGUAGCGGUGAAAUGCGUAGAUAUCAGGAGGAACACCGGCGGCGAAGGCGGCCUGCUGGACCGUGACUGACGUUGAGGCUCGAGAGCGUGGGGAGCAAACAGGAUUAGAUACCCCUGUA